rnacentral:rRNA from 1 species
GGGUAAUUUGAAUUAAAAUAAAGAAUGAUUUAGGGUAAAAUGCCUGAAGGGGAUAAAGUUCCAUUGGUGGUUAGAAGAGAUAGGGAAAAUACUUUGGAAAUUAGGGGGAAAAUCCUUUAACCCAUCCCAAUUAAAAAUUAAACCAAAAAAAAUACGACUUAUAACAAUGGAUCUCUCGGCUCUUACAUCGAUGAAGAACGUAGUGAAAUGCGAUACAUAAUAUGAAUUGCAGAUCUUGUGAAUCAUCGAGUCUUUGAACGCACUUUGCACCAAUCGAAAGAUUGGUAUGUUUGUUUGAGUACUUCUUACACCUGCCUCAGAAACUUGUUUUUGAGAAUUUGGGCUUAACAGUAAUUUUAAUUGCUGUAGACCUUAAAUAUUAGUAAGGGUUUAUUUCCAGGUAUCAGAGAGUUCGCUCUGUGGUAUCUCGUUAUUAACUUCUGAAUGAUGGCUAGUUAUUUUGACUGACUAAUUGUAAUGUGUUUAAGCUUUUUAUCAUUGUUUUGAUAUUGAAUGCCCCGGGCUCUGCUCAAGGUAGUUAGUAUUUUGAUGGUGGUAGAGGGUAGAGAUGCUUUAUAAUUGGAAGGAAUUGAUAGCUAGUUUGAAUUCUAGC